GACUGGAUAGACAGAGAGAUCUGCCCAGGAAGUCACUUGGGGGAGGGGCUUUCCAGGAAGUAGAAAUAGGCAGAGUUGAGGCAGGAAUUGGAGGGUCCUUGGCUGUGGCCCAGAAGCACCAACUUUUAGGAUGCAGCUGGGCACAUGGAUGCUACCGAAUUCCAAUGUACAGUGGAAGUAACUCGCAGAGGGUCCUGCCAGGCUGUGUCUGUGACCAUUGAAGUCCAGGUGGUUUACUCUCCCCAUUUCCAAAGAUCCCAUUAUCACCGUGAUUUCUUCAGGGUCUCGGAACAUCUGGCUGAAGUGUGAGCCACUAAAAAGGGAGCCUUUGGAUCUUCCUGGAGGCUGUGGUUGGGGAGCGAGUGAAUAAGUGAUGUGUUCAUCGAUACCCAAUCAUCUUCUCAACUCCCAAUAUUCUCCAUGAGUUGUUUCAGAAGCCCAAGACACGCCCAGUGGCUCACAGUCUCUUCUUGCUGCCUUCAGAUCUGGAUGUAAAAUUCUCAACUACCAUAUCUGCCUGUGUGAGGCCAUGCUUCCUGUCAUCUUGAUAAUAUACCAAACCUCUGAAACUGUCUUUUAGACAUUGAAGCAUGUCAGCUCCUAGCAGCACCUAUUCUACUUCGAAGGAGAUGAUGGGCUUCAAAGGACCUCCAACUAGAGGCAAGCUAGCCACUGGGCAGAGACAAUACCUUGACUUCAUCUGCAGACAAACACUCUCUGAAAAAUGGGCAAACUUAAAUGGAGGUAAAAUCUACAGUCGAGCUCUGCCAAUAUAGUGUAAGCAAGUCCUUUAUAACUAGUACUCCACAAAUAUGUCUGUCAGAUACACAGGCCAGAAGGCUGGAGAUAGAUGCUCCAAUGCUAUAGAGACAUUUUAGGGGACAGCUAGGCAGCCAACGAUGUGUGUCAUGUCUAUAAUUUUGGAAGCUAUCUGCCUGUACUUUUUGCAUGUUCACAUAAUAUUUAUUUCCUUCUCAAAGACUACACAGUUAUAGCCUCACAUUUAAACGCGAGUAGCAAAGGAUCUUGGGAAAUGUUUUAGAGUGUAAGGGGAUGCUUUUUGGAUGGUGAAAGCAAGUUUUGAAGGUCGGAGGACAUGAAGGUUUUAAGUUGCAAGAAGGUGUUUAAAAGUUAGUUGAUGAAGGCUAGAGGGUCUGAAAGGUAUUUUAUGAAGGUUGUAGAAGAAUGUAAACUGGUGUUUUAAGGUUGGUAAUUGCAAGUUAUGAACAUGAAAGGAUUUAAAUGCUUGAGACAGUAAAGAAAAAAGUGAUUUAAAUGCAAACUCACCAAGAUAGAAUAGAUUAAAAAAAAAAAACAAACUUUUCUCCUAGGUUGACAAAUACAAUUGGACUGAACAUUGAGUGUGAUUAUUACACCAUAGAUUUCAUCAUUGUUUCAUAAUUGUUCUUACUGUAUAUAGUUUAUUAUUGUAAGAAAAAGAGCCCUUUUUAUUUAGACAGAAAGGGGUCGGGUGCUGCUAUGGAUUUAAAUGUUAAAUUCUGUGUUCUAAGACCUGGCUGCCCCAGAAUGACUUCUCAGGUACACCAGCUUUGGUUGUGCAGACCGUGUUUCCCCAGUUAAUUGGUCAGUUUCAUUAGCUGGCUGGCGACCACAGGUAAAGAGGGGGGAGAAAGAAGAAAGCACACAGAGAGGAGGAAGCCACCGUGAGAGAAGAUGGACCAUUAGCACAGAGGAGAAGCAGUGGCAGCAAGGGACACGCGACUGGGAUGAACAGCUCCAGAACCUGUCCACAAGGCAUACAGCUUGUAAAUAAAAUGCUGGGAUUUUGUGUCUUUUAUACAGGAUAACUAGAAAAUAACAAUUUAUUUUACACUAACUCUCCCCUGAUGCACGGAGGAGAUAAGCAGCAGUGCCAUAAACCUGAGAGACAAGAGAGACCUUCAGGGGGCCUGGGGGGAUGAGGGACAAGAAUAAACCUUGAAAUGACUGACAUUUGUUUUCCUUCCCUGUAUUAUCAGUAAGCCACAGGGAAAGCAGAUCUUUAAGAUGUUGAUCCACUAUCUUCUCAGGUUAAUGAUUCUCCUGAAUAAAGCAGAUAUUUAAGAUUUAGUUCAUGGUUUUUGCCUGUUCUUGGGCAAUGCAGAUCCAGUUACAGUAGGAUACUAUACCUAAUUCACUUUAUUGAAUUUUUUUUCCAGAUUUUAUUUUAUGGGCUACAGAGAUGGCUCAGUGGUUUAGAGCACUUCUUGAUCUUGCAGAGGAACAAGAUUCAAUUUCUAGCACACAUAUGAUGGAUUAUAACCACCCAUAACUUCAGUCCUAGGGGAUCAGAUGCCCUCUUAUGGCUUCCACAGGCACUAGGCAUGUACAUAGUAUGUAUUUGCAUAUGCAUAUGUAUAUGAUGUAUAUGAUAUAUAUGUAUAUGUGCAUGCAAAACACAAAUAAAAUUAAUUAAUUAAAGAUAAAAAUUUUAUUUUAUGUGUAUGAGUAUCUUGCUUGCAUGUAUGUAUGUGAAUGCAGCAUCCAUGUGUCUGGUGCCAACAAAGGCAGAAGAGGGUGUCAGAUUCCCUGGAAAGGUUGUGAGCUACCAUGUGGGUGCUGGGAACCAAACUCGUGUGUCCUUCAAAAGCAGCAAGUGCCAUUAACCUCUGAGCCAUUUAUUUCUCCAGGCCCACUUCAGUGAAUAUUUUAAAGUGGAGUUAGAUUCUUCGACAACGCCUUGACUUUAGAUCUUUUCACUACAGCUAGACUUUUCUUUAACAGAAAGGGCAACUUCCCUUUCGCAAUUGGCACUAAGGUCAAAUAAUGAAGGUUCUAGAAAAAGCCAGGGCAACACUUGGCUUCACAUUCACAUUAGUGUAGCCGAAGAAGCAGAAAGUUCCCACUGAGGUGUCCCCCCAGCAGAUGAGAAUGAGACUACCACCACAAAUCAAAGCCAAAUUUGAAGCAAGCUUUAGUCACAUAUUAGCCAGUUUGAUGGAUUCUGGCCAGGUCCAGUCCAGUGAUCCCAGAAAAUGGUAACAAGUCACAUUGUGCAGAGGCUUAUAAAGGCAAACCCGUAGGGCGAUGUACUUCUCAUCAGGUCCAGCGGGGCCAGCAUACAACCUGCCCGCCUCCUGCCCUCCCGCCCUGAUGAAUUUCCUGUCUAUGUACUGCCUACAUGUAGUCAAAUGCAUCCGGUGCACUUGGGUCAAACAAACCUGUCUAGGGAAGUGAAACUAUGUGGCAUGUUACCUUGUAUAAGCAAUAGACAGCCUCCAGCAUCUCAGAAAGUAUCUGUCCUAGGGCCAGUGGCUUACAGGUUAGAGGCAUUUGGUUUUAUGGAUCUCUUAAACACAGUAACUAAAAUUAAGACAUAAUUUUGGAUAUCACAUGAGGAACAGGGGGAGAAACUCCAAGGAUACUCAAGUUCGGAGGCAAAUCCUCAUAUGUCAAGAAUCUAGACUGGCAACUGGGUGUAGUGGACCAUGCCUGUAAGCCCAGCGCCUGGGAGGUAGAGGCGAGGGAACCAGUAGCUUAAGUUCCUCUGUAACUACAAUGAGAAUUUCAGUCUAGCUAGGGCUUCAUGAGACCCUGCUUUAAAAAAAAAAAACCAAAACAACCAAAAAUGUGGCAAAGAACAAAAGCUUUGUCCAAUAUCACAGUGAA